AGAGUUUGAUCCUGGCUCAGGAUGAACGCUAGCUACAGGCUUAACACAUGCAAGUCGAGGGGAAACGACAUCGAAAGCUUGCUUUUGAUGGGCGUCGACCGGCGCACGGGUGAGUAACGCGUAUCCAGCCUGCCCAUCACUUGGGGAUAACCUUGCGAAAGUAAGACUAAUACCCAAUGAUAUCUCUAGAAGGCAUCUGAAAGAGAUUAAAGAUUUAUCGGUGAUGGAUGGGGAUGCGUCUGAUUAGCUUGUUGGCGGGUAACGGCCACCAAAGCAACGAUCAGUAGGGGUUCUGAGAGGAAGGUCCCCCANAUUGGAACUGAGACACGGUCCAAACUCCUACGGGAGCA
rnacentral:rRNA from 1 species